UGUGUCUUCUCAGUCAUAUUGACACUGGUCCACUACCAGGUCAUGUGUCUUCUCAGUCAUAUUGACACUGGUCCACUACCAGGUCAUGUGUCUUCUCAGUCAUAUUGACACUGGUCCACUACCAGGUCAUGUGUCUUCUCAGUCAUAUUGACACUGGUCCACUACCAGGUCAUGUGUCUUCUCAGUCAUAUUGACACUGGUCCACUACCAGGUCAUGUGUCUUCUCAGUCAUGUUGACACUGGUCUACUACCAGGUCAUGUGUCUUCUCAGUCACGUUGACACUGGUCCACUACCAGGUCAUGUGUCUUCUCAGUCAUGUUGACACUGGUCCACUACCAGGUCAUGUGUCUUCUCAGUCAUGUUGACACUGGUCCACUACCAGGUCAUGUGUCUUCUCAGUCAUGUUGACACUGGUCCACUACCAGGUCAUGUGUCUUCUCAGUCAUGUUGACACUGGUCCACUACCAGGUCAUGUGUCUUCUCAGUCAUAUUGACACUGGUCCACUACCAGGUCAUGUGUCUUCUCAGUCAUAUUGACACUGGUCCACUACCAGGUCAUGUGUCUUCUCAGUCAUAUUGACACUGGUCCACUACCAGGUCAUGUGUCUUCUCAGUCAUAUUGACACUGGUCCACUACCAGGUCAUGUGUCUUCUCAGUCAUGUUGACACUGGUCCACUACCAGGUCAUGUGUCUUCUCAGUCAUGUUGACACUGGUCCACUACCAGGUCAUGUGUCUUCUCAGUCAUGUUGACACUGGUCCACUACCAGGUCAUGUGUCUUCUCAGUCAUAUUGACACUGGUCCACUACCAGGUCAUGUGUCUUCUCAGUCAUGUUGACACUGGUCCACUACCAGGUCAUGUGUCUUCUCAGUCAUAUUGACACUGGUCCACUACCAGGUCAUGUGUCUUCUCAGUCAUAUUGACACUGGUCCACUACCAGGUCAUGUGUCUUCUCAGUCAUAUUGACACUGGUCCACUACCAGGUCAUGUGUCUUCUCAGUCAUAUUGACACUGGUCCACUACCAGGUCAUGUGUCUUCUCAGUCAUAUUGACACUGGUCCACUACCAGGUCAUGUGUCUUCUCAGUCAUAUUGACACUGGUCCACUACCAGGUCAUGUGUCUUCUCAGUCAUAUUGACACUGGUCCACUACCAGGUCAUGUGUCUUCUCAGUCAUAUUGACACUGGUCCACUACCAGGUCAUGUGUCUUCUCAGUCAUGUUGACACUGGUCCACUACCAGGUCAUGUGUCUUCUCAGUCAUGUUGACACUGGUCCACUACCAGGUCAUGUGUCUUCUCAGUCAUGUUGACACUGGUCCACUACCAGGUCAUGUGUCUUCUCAGUCAUGUUGACACUGGUCCACUACCAGGUCAUGUGUCUUCUCAGUCAUGUUGACACUGGUCCACUACCAGGUCAUGUGUCUUCUCAGUCAUGUUGACACUGGUCCACUACCAUGUCAUGUGUCUUCUCAGUCAUGUUGACACUGGUCCACUACCAGGUCAUGUGUCUUCUCAGUCAUGUUGACACUGGUCCACUACCAGGUCAUGUGUCUUCUCAGUCAUGUUGACACUGGUCCACUACCAGGUCAUGUGUCUUCUCAGUCAUGUUGACACUGGUCCACUACCAGGUCAUGUGUCUUCUCAGUCAUGUUGACACUGGUCCACUACCAGGUCAUGUGUCUUCUCAGUCAUGUUGACACUGGUCCAC